GGUCCGUCCUUCCCGUCAUGGAGGCAGCGCCGCAGGGCCAGCGGCCAGCCCCGCCUGCCUGGGGCGGUCGGCGCGGGUGGGCAGAGGCCCGAGGGAGCAGCUGGCAGCCGACCUGUGCCAGGAGCCUUGGCCGCGUCCUGUCCCCGCUGUGUAAAUCCAGGCUGAGGCUGCCAGCGUCAGGGGGUCUCCUCGUCGUGGUGUGUGAGGGCAGGUGCUGUGAAGCAAAGUCCAGGUGUCCUCUUCCUAAAUGAGCGAGAUAAUCCUCCCUAGGUGAAUAAAUCUGACCUGAAAACGGGCCUACAGUUAUAUCAAGAAGAACUGGAAAUACAUAGCUACAAAAUCUCAGUCUGCCACUGUAGAGAGCCUGUGCUAGUUUAGAACCUUGGACUGGAGUCAUCUGGGAUGGGACUGGGUCCUCUCUGUUGUUGACUUUC